AUGGCAUGGGAAUAACACAGACAAUCCGACAAAGACUGAAUGAGAACGCACAGACUAAAUACACACAAGAGGCUAAUGAGAGAAGUGGGAACACAUGGGGGACAGCUGACACACAUGAACAUAACGAUGUCACAGUGGAAGAGUAAAACUAAACACGAUGAACACAGGAACACCAGACCUCUUCAAAAUAAAACAGGAAACAUAAGACGCAGACAUGAAACACAUGAAGGGGAAGGGAGACUUGACAUGGGUGGAAGACACAAGGGGAAUCUAAUAACAAAGAACUAUAACAACCUAGGCAUGAUAAAAAGCGAACUUAGAAAACCUGAAGGGCUUAAACAUAAACCAUAAACUAAAACUCAAAACGCUGGGUCAAAGGACCCAGGAUUGUGACAGUUUUAGAGCAGUGGGUUGAUGUGGAUGGUUGUUUGUCCUUGUAUAUUAUGCGCAUAUGAUCACAGCCCUGGGCCCUGUCCACAGCUUGUGACGGGUCCCUGGUCUCUGGGAGGGUCGGCUGCCCGUUGCUUCUGGUUCUCAGAGGCUCUCCUCAUGGGGGCUCCGUCUUCCUUCCGCUCUCUUUCAGGUGAUGUUUGCUUUCUGUAUCGUUACCUCUUUUCUCUUUCUCUCUCUUUCCUUCUUCUACUUUCUUCUUCCUAAUCUGGACCUCCCCACCUGUCAGCUCUGACACUGUUACAGUAAAGAUGUGCUGAUGAAGAGAACAACAAAAGAUCAUUGAGGUGUUCCACACACUAACUCCUCUGACUGUAAUGCUGUGAUAUUUUACAUUUGUCCUUACUAUUGGCUUGCUGAACAUAAGGAUUCCUCUCACGAGUAUUUGGUCUUAUUUGGAACAAGUUCUGAAUGUUGUGGGGCAAAGAUUUAUUUGCUGCUUUGUACAUUGUUUAUGCCGUUCUGAGGUCAACCAAAUCUUUAAAUUUGAGAAUCUUUAAUUUAAUAAAAUGUGGAUUUGAUGGUUCUCUUGAAGUAGUUUUAUUUGUUAUGCUUAUUGCUCUUUUUUGCAGAAUCUAUAUUGGAUGGGUGUUUGUUUUAUACAUCUUUCCCCACACUUCCACACAGUAUGUCAUGUAUGGCAGUAUAAUAGAACAAUAGAGUAUAUAACAUUGAGUUUGCAACAUUAAUAGUUUUAGUUUUAGGAGGGUUUCCAGUUUUUACAAUUUCUUUAGCCAAGCCAGGACCAACAUCAAGAAAAAAGUCAUUAAAACCAUUUGCCAUUUGUUUUAUGUCACUCGUGUCUUUGUCAUAAAAUGUCUUUAAAUUUAAUCCUGUCAGACAGGACAGGAUUGGAAGGUUGAUGGUUCGCUCCAGUCUGCGUGCCAAAUAUCCUUGGGGAAGUUACUAACCUUAAGCUGCCCUGUGAUCCGUCUACUGAAGUGUGAAUAUGUGAUAGAAAGCAAGUAAAUAGAAAAAAGUGCUUGGGUAAAUUGGGCAAGUUGUGUAAAGCGCUUUGAGUGCUCAGAAUAAAAAAGUGCAGUAUAAGAACCAAACCAUUUAUCAGACAUUACACGUCCUUCACACCUCGAUGCUCUUCCUGAUUGUCUUGUUUGUCUCUCUCCAGUUCUUUCCCUGCAGGA